UGGGGAAUAUUGCACAAUGGGGGAAACCCUGAUGCAGCGACGCCGCGUGAGCGAUGAAGUAUUUCGGUAUGUAAAGCUCUAUCAGCAGGGAAGAAAAUGACGGUACCUGACCAAGAAGCCCCGGCUAACUACGUGCC
rnacentral:rRNA from 1 species